UCUGGCGGCAGUAGCACGGUGGUCCCACCUGACCCCAUGCCGAACUCAGAAGUGAAACGCCGUAGCGCCGAUGGUAGUGUGGGGUCUCCCCAU
rnacentral:rRNA from 1 species